rnacentral:rRNA from 1 species
AUUGAACGCUGGCGGCAGGCCUAACACAUGCAAGUCGAGCGGAGCGGCGGACGGGUGAGUAAUGCCUAGGAAUCUGCCCGGUCGUGGGGGAUAACGUCCGGAUCCGGGCGCUAAUACCGCAUACUAUCAGAUGAGCCUAGGUCGGAUUAGCUAGUUGGUGGGUUAAUGGCCUACCAAGGCGACGAUCCGUAACUGGUCUGAGAGGAUGAUAAGUCACACUGUAACUGAGAGAGGGUCCAGAGUCCUACGGGAGGAAGAAGUGGGGAAAAUUGGAAAAUGGAGGAAAGCCUGAAGAAGCCAUGCCGCGUGUGGGAAGAGGGUCAUCGGAUGGAAAAGGACAUUAAGUUGGGAGGCGUUAACAAAAAAAUAAGCACCGGCUAACUACGAGACAGCCGCCGCGGUAAUAC